rnacentral:rRNA from 1 species
CCUACGGGUGGCAGCAGUGAGGAAUAUUGGUCAAUGGACGAGAGUCUGAACCAGCCAAGUAGCGUGAAGGAUGACUACCCUAUGGGUUGUAAACUUCUUUUAUAUGGGAAUAAAAUGUUCCACGUGUGUGCUUUUGUAUGUACCAUAUGAAUAAGGAUCGGCUAACUCCGUGCCAGCAGCCGCGGUAAUACGGAGGAUCCGAGCGUUAUCCGGAUUUAUUGGGUUUAAAGGGAGCGUAGGUGGAUUGUUAAGUCAGUUGUGAAAGUUUGCGGCUCAAACGUAAAAUUGCAGUUGAAACUGGCAGUCUUGAGUACAGUAGAGGUGGGCGGAAUUCGUGGUGUAGCGGUGAAAUGCUUAGAUAUCACGAAGAACUCCGAUUGCGAAGGCAGCUCACUGGACUGCAACUGACACUGAGGCUCGAAAGUGUGGGUAUCAAACAGGAUUAGAUACCCUAGUAGUC